rnacentral:sRNA from 1 species
UUAUUAUUUACCCAUUUUAAAAUUAGUCUUAUAUUGUUAAUUUGAUCUUGAUAUUGUAAAAAUAUUUUCUCUUUAGAAUGGUUUGAAUAUGAUCUUGAUAAAACAAUGAACUGAACUAGAUGACUUUGAAUUUUAUGAUAUGGUUUCCUUAUGAUUAAAUGAUUAUGUGACAACUUCUUCUCCAGGGUAAAUUUCAACAUUAUAUUUCUGCUUUAUUGAUCUUUAACAGUUAAGGGAAGAAAGUCGGAGGCUGGCUUUGGCUGCGAAAAGAGAAAAAAGAAAAGAGAAGAGAAGGAAGAAAAAGGAAGAACAAAGAAGAAAACUAGAAGAAAUUGAAGCCAAAAAUAAAGAGAACUUUGAACUUCAAGCUGCUCAAGAAAAAGAAAAGCUUAAAGUUGAAGAUGAGCCUGAAGUCUUGACAGAACCUCCAAGUGCCACAACCACUACUACCAUAGGUAUAUCUGCAACCUGGACAACUUUGGCAGGUUCUCAUGGUAAAAGAAAUAAUACCAUAACUACAACCAGUUCAAAGAGGAAAAACAGGAAAAAUAAAAUUACUCCAGAAAACGUUCAAAUUAUAUUUGAUGAUCCACUACCAAUUUCAUACAGUCAGCCAGAGAAGGUGAAUGGAGAGUCCAAGAGCAGCAGUACCAGCGAGAGUGGGGACAGUGAUAACAUGAGGAUUUCCAGCUGCAGUGAUGAAAGUAGUAACAGCAACAGCAGUCGUAAGAGUGACAAUCAUUCACCAGCUGUGGUCACUACCACUGUGAGCAGCAAAAAGCAGCCAUCAGUUCUUGUUACAUUUCCAAAGGAAGAGAGAAAAUCUGUUUCUGGCAAGGCUUCAAUAAA